rnacentral:tRNA from 1 species
CGAAGUAUAGCAUAUAUAAUGCUUUUUACUUACACUAAAAAUAAAGUUAAAGAACUUGCUUCGC